CGGGGUGCACCAGGCGCGAAAACUUUACAAUGCUGGCAACAGCGAUAAGGGGACCUUGAGUGCCAGGAUACAAUCCUGGCUGUCGUGAUGCCUAAAAAGCAUUAUAUAGCAAGGGCCGGGCAAGACCGGUGCCAGCCGCCGCGGUAACACCGGCGGCUCGAGUGGUAACCGCUAUUAUUGGGUCUAAAGGGUCUGUAGCCGGCUUGGUUAGUCUCUUGGGAAAUCCGGCAGCUUAACUGUCGGGCUUUCAGGAGAUACUGCCAGGCUCGAGACCGGGAGAGGUGAGAGGUACUUCAUGGGUAGGGGUGAAAUCUUGUAAUCCUUGAAGGACCACCAGUGGCGAAGGCGUCUCACCAGAACGGAUCUGACGGCAAGGGACGAAAGCUAGGGGCACGAACCGGAUUAGAUACCCGGGUAGUCCUAGCCGUAAACGAUACUCGCUAGGUGUCGGCCACGGUGCGACCGUGGUCGGUGCCGUAGGGAAGCCGUGAAGCGAGCCACCUGGGAAGUACGGCCGCAAGGCUGAAACUUAAAGGAAUUGGCGGGGGAGCACAAGGGCGAUUCGC
rnacentral:rRNA from 1 species